CAGUAGCCGCGGGAAUACGAAGGUCCCGAGCGUUGUUCGGAAUCACUGGGCGUAAAGGGAGCGUAGGCGGCGUGGUAAGUCAGAUGUGAGAUCCCGGGGCUCAACCCCGGAACUGCAUCCGAUACUGCCGUGCUAGAGGAUUGGAGAGGUAGCUGGAAUUCUUGGUGUAGCAGUGAAAUGCGUGGAGAUCAAGAGGAACACUCGUGGCGAAAGCGAGCUACUGGACAAUAUCUGACGCUGAGGCUCGAAGGCCAGGGUAGCGAAAGGGAUUAGAGACCCCCGUAGUCCCUGUCUCUUAUAA
rnacentral:rRNA from 1 species